rnacentral:rRNA from 1 species
UUAGGAGAUGUGCGUGGACGUAUUAUCGGCGUGUUCGCUCUAGUAGCGUUCACAUAAGCCCAUCGCAGUGCUCUUAAACAAGUGUUGCUGUGGGCCGAUACAAAUUACUUUGAACAAAUUAGAGUGCUUAAAGCAGGCUUGUAAUGCCUGAAUAUUUUGU